AGGCUGGGGGUCAGAGUGGACCACCUGCACAGGCGGGGGCAGGGAGGGGUCUCUGAGACCCCCGGGGCCCUCCCUAAGUUCCUGUGCUGCUCUUGGGCACCUCAAGGGUCAUAGACCCCUACCAGGCCUGAGCUGGGCUGAAGGCAGAGCUGUCGGAGGCUCGCAGUGCUGUCAUUCUGGGGGGAGCGAGGUGGCCACUUUGUCUACAAAGCAGGACUGUGACCGGGGUGUCCCGGAGUCUGAGGCACGGGGCUGGGGCUGAGCCACACAGAUCUGUCGCCCCUCAGGCUCCCGCAGCGGGUGGCCCAGGCGCAGGGGUGAGGCCGCCCUGUCCCAGGGACAGAAGCUCAGCACAAAUCGCCCCUUUCUCUUAGAAAAGAGAUUGACUGCCUCUUUGGGGCCCAUCAAGUUCUCCAGUGCUGCGUCUUCGGUGCUGCCUAUGGCUCCUGGCCCUCGCCCUCCGAUGCCGCUUCCCCGCCUCCCUUCUUCGGGUGAGCCCUGCUUUUCAUGGCUUCUUCCCUGGAGCCGGACAAGGCCUCUCCCGUCCUUUGAUGAACUCUCCUGUAGCCCAUUCUUUACGACUCCUUCGUUUUCGCUACAGGAGCGUUGCUCUUUGCUACUACAAGCAAUAAAGUAACACCAGGAGCAACGCAGUGAGCACCUGUGUGGGUGCCGGGUCUCUGCUAUGCCUUAGCGCUCAGCCCUGACCUGCCCCGCCAAGCAAGUAGAUGCUGUCCCCUGGGGAUGUUCCAGAAGUGCAGUGGGAGGGGUUGCCCUGUCAGGGAGGGUCGGGAGCACGCCCCCCCCCCACCCCGCCCCGGUCUGAUCCCGAAGCCCAGCGCUGGUGCAAGUCCACACUGCUUGAGAAUUCCGGCUUCCCAGGCCCUGCGGGUCACGGUCGUAUCAGUGGCCACGCGCUCUGAUUUGGGGGGCGACCGUAGCCAGAGGGUCUCCUUGUGUGGAAGGGAUGACCUGACCCGUUGGGCAGCAGGCAAGUUCUCUGAGCCCGCUCGUGUUCACUUCUUAGCAAAGUGGAGGCUUUUCUCCUCCUGCCCGAGAGAAGGAUUUAGAGAAAAGGCCUCGUUCCGGGGGACCCCACAUAGUUGGUAGAAAGGACCUCAGAAUAGAUGGGAUACGACUGGUUUCUUUGUGGGGGAGCAGGAAAUCAGCCUUGUGGAGGGGAGGGAUCCCUGGGUGGGUCCUCCAGUGCUGCCUCCCAGCCACCCCCCUGCCCAGACCCCUUGUUCAGGGCCCUUGACAGGUGGUCUGGGUUCCCCCAGGGGGUGUCUCACACAGUGGCUCGUCCCCGGAGCAGCAGCGGCAGCCAUUUGCAAAUCCCACUGUUGGUCCCGGGCAGGGGCGCCUCCUGAGCCGGCUGCUGCAUUCCCCAGGGAUGCCAAGCAUCUCUGUUUCCGGCGUCCCUGGUGGUGAGGCUCGAGGGAGUGCCGCUGAGCCCUGCUGGCCUCCCACAUCCUUGUCCGCAUGUGGGGGGUCAGGUGCCUGUGUGCUCCCUUACGACCUCCCGAGGGCUCCCUUACGUGGGUGGCUCUCAGCUGCAGCAGGUGCGGGGGCUCUGCCCACCUGGGCCCCAGGCUAACCUACCCAGAGCCCUGCCCUCCCCUCUCUCUACUCCAGGGCCCCCCGCAACAACCACCAGAGCCCGCUCCCUAAAAGCCAAGAUCCGGUCUUGUCUUCAGCCCCCAAGUCCUCAGGCUCCGCAAGCCAAGCUCCUGAGCACAGUCAUCAAAGCCUUUCACUCGGUGUCUGUGUUGGUGACUGUUUUUUCUGUAACGUGCCUGCAAACGUCUUCACAGCAAAGAUGCCGGACAUCAUCAUUCUGAAAUGCAUUCUAGAGAGUGUAGUGAGCCUCACGCCCAAACAGUAGCCCCAAAUCACAGAGCUGGGCGGGGGGAUGGAACAAAGAUGAACCCGGUGUUCUGUGAGGCGCAGACUCCUACUUAGCCCCAUGUCCUGAGUGGCAGAAGCAGUGUGUGUGCCUAGAUUUGGUAAAAAACAAAACAAAACACAUACCCUAAAGUUUACCGUCUUAACCAUCUCCAAGUGUACAGUUCAGUAACGUCAAAUAUAGUCACGUUAUUGUGCAACCAAUCUCCGGAAUGUUCUCCUUUUGCAAAACUGACAUUCUGUUUCCAUGAAACAAGUCCCCUUCGCCCUGUCCCCAGCCGACCGCCACCAUUCCCUUUCUGUCUCGUAGAUGGGAUUAUUCUAGGAACUCCGUGGGAGCAGCUUCAUACAGAUUUACCUCUUCGCUCAGCAUGAUAUCCUCAGGGCUCCUCCACGAGGUAGCACAUUUCAGAACGUCCCUCCUUGUUCUGGCCGAGCCCUCUCCCGCUGUGUGUUGGUGCGGACGGUGAGCCCAGCGAGCCCGCCGGAGGGUCGGCAGGGAGGAAUGAGCCGUGAGCGGGCUGCUGUCGCCUAAAAUGAGGAAUUCCAGAAGGGUGCCAAGCAGAUGGCCAAGCCCUGUCGGCGGGGGCACAAAGAAGUAGACCACAGCGGGCUUCUGGAAGCUUCCAACCUAUCUGGGGUGACAAGACACGCUCUGAAGGCAGAGAAGCCUCACGGGCACAGUUCCGCAUGCCGAUGAAGCCAGGGAGAGAGCCGCUCUCCAUCAGCUGGUUUCCUCCCCGGAACUCGUGCCCCCAAAUUCCUUUUUUGAGGGAAGGUGGGAUGAGUUUCUGGGUAUCCUUUUCUCGGCCUCUCGUCAUCAAACUGAUUGGAAAAAACAGAAAAAUGAUCUUUCUAAAGUUGCAACAUUCUCUUUUUCCUCUGAGUGCCAGAGGUAGGCUCAAAAAUGUUAAGCAAAGAAGCUCUUGCUCUCGAGAGCUCUGGGGAAUGGGGUUUUCUUGCUCCCACCCCAGGCGUGUUUCUCACGCCCCUCCUGCCCCAUCCUCUGCAGACACCGAGGGACAGAGCUGGACAGCAGAGGGACAGGAAGCGUUCUCAGCCGCCAGUCCUGGGACCAGCCCCCAGACAAUGGGGUCAGAGCCGCAGGACGGAACCUGUGUUCAGAGUUCUCGACGGAGCACGGAUGCCAGUCAGCAGAACGGGCAGACGUCUCUCCGACGGGCAGGUGGCCGGCAAAGCGUCCCUCCAAUGUCUGCCUGUCAGCCUGGCCAUGUGAGCCUCUCCAGCUCUUCAGCCCAUCGUUCCUCUGGGGCAGGGGCAGGUAAGUGCUGCUGACGUCGCCUGCAGGAGCCUGUACGUGACCAUCCCAGACGUCACGUUCCUGCUGCUGUGCUCAGCCCACAGACCUGUGUCCCCACAUGGCACUGGUCCUGGGCUCUCCUUCCUGCUGCGGCUGUGUCCCUGGGUUCCCAGGCUUUUAGCACUUUUGCUGUCGUCUAGAGGCAGGCGGCUGAGGGUGGAUGCCUCCGGAUCGCGCGCCUCGCCCCUUUCCUGAAUCUGCUCCUUGCAGGGGCGUCCGUGCCCCAGCACGUGGUUGGGGAUGAAUGGGUAUCCCGUACACCGUGAUCGUGCGUGAUUCUGGAUUUAUCCUCGGACGUGAGUGCAGCGAUGGGAAAUGUCACAGCCUCACACUGCUUUUAAAUAUGCUCAUCACUUCAGAGUCAAUGGGAAUUUGAAUUUCAAGAGCUCGUUCUUUCUCUUUCCAGGAAGAUAAAAACAACAACAACAGCAACAACAUACAGAUGUAGUAACAUCUGGUUUUCUGGGAUGCCCGGCUCAGUCAUGCAGGACACGAACGCUGCUGCUCUACCCACUGUCCCUUUCUUUUUGGGGGAAGAGUGUAAUGUAGGCAAUGAAACACUGGUUUUGAAUUUCUGCCUCUCUGCUGGGCCUGAGUACACAGAUGGUCCCUAUAAUAAUAAUAAUAAUAGUGAAAAAACCAGGUUUUGCUGAUAAUCAACAGUAUGUCAACAUUAUACACAAAAUAUUUUGGUUCUAUAUCAAAAUGAGCCUAGCUUUCAUGAAACCAACUCGCAGACACUUUCCCCACUGGAGUUUGAAGGGUUAAUUGAAAUUACCCAGAACAGAAUGACAUCAUCUCAAGCCUCUAGAAUAGAAUAUGGAGGGAGAAGCCAAGGGAGGGGGCUGUGCCCUCAUCCCGGAAUGGAGUGGAAGGAGCCGGGGAAGUCAGAAGCCUGAGGUUCCAUCCAAGCUCUGCCGCUCUGAUGGCAAAUCCUGAAUGAGACCACGAGUCUCUCCGAGCCUCACCAUUCUCUUCUUUAAAAUGGGAGCAGCUGGGACGCCUGGGUGGCUCAGUCGGUUAAGCGGCU